ACAAUUACAAGAUAACUCAUAUUAUAUACAGAAGCGUUUAAUCAAAAUUUAACACCAACGGAAACCACAACCACGAAAUUACGCUUUAGUCUUCAGUUACUGUGAACAUGCACUAGCAAAAUAGUGAUAAACGCGCUUACGGUAAGUGAAUCGUUAAUACAACUUAAUUCAUAAUUAUAAGUUAAGUUUACCUGCGUCCGUUCCACUUUCGGGCAUCGUUAUUGCUACAUUGCUGGCCUGCAUGUGUUUUUCUGCAGAGAGUUUCCCGGUUUCCGUUUACAUCGGCUGUUAACAAGGAUCUUCCUUUCCUUGUAUGAACAAAUGCCCCUGCUGGAGCAUACACUCUGCGCAGCAUUCUGUUGGGAACGUUAGAAUGACUGUGCGUGGUGUCUCUUCCUUGUUUGUCUGGUUUUUUUUCUAGGAGAAUGUUGCAAUCUGAGGUUACAGCGAAAUAGACUCGGUUGAAUUGUUCGUUUGCCUGUUUGCGUUCGCUGACAUUAUGUAAAAGUGUAGACUACCGCGAGCGAUCGAAGAGGGUUGGUCCGUGCACUGCUGUUUUCUCCAAAAGUGCAAUGUAAACAUAGCACGAAAUAAAACUCUACGCAGCUUUUAACAAAACAAGCUAAAAAGCAAAAAGCGACGGAAACGAUAAAAAAACUAUCGACGCUAACGGCAAAAACGAAAUGUUGCGACAAAUAUAACAAGCGAACGCAAGGCCGGCAAGGGGAUAGAGCAAAAUAAAUUCGCUUCGGGGCCUUAACAGCCGCGUUUUUUGAGCUUUCUAAAGCUUGACAGUGGCCAACGGCGAGUGUACACGUUAUAGCCCUUCGUCGGUCUCGAGUUAACUCAGGUCUUCAGGUUACCGAGUAAUCGAUCAACGGCACCUGUGUUCGCCGCAACGACGAAGCUUUAGUAAUAACCCGACCUCAGCGAGGUCGACUGGAAACUGUCUCAUCGUCGAGAAGCGGUGCAUCGUUAAUGUUGCAGCAGUUUCGCCGACUCCUCACACUGCUGCUGCUCCUAAGGGCCUUGGGAUCAGGGGCUUCGUAAGGAACUGUCAUCGAGGGAAAAGAUUACACACUACUACGGCGACUAUUAGGAAGACAUGAGGCCCAAGAUGAAUUGUCAAAGGGUUACGUUGCGCUGACAUUUAUCUGCGUCAGUACGUGAGAAUAAGUUAUCCCAAAGCUGCCUCCUAUCUUUCUGAUGGAAACCAAACGCAACAAACUAAUGCAUAGCAAUAAUAGCCUCAAUGGUCGGAACUUGGAUUGCUACCGGAAGACUGCUCACUUUUACUUAGACUAUGCCGUACGCAAUAACAAAAACGAUGUACAGGCGGCAUGAGUGCACCGCUCUCGGACCUUGCAAACGUAUAUCCGCGUGCAACGAAGUGGGUGUGUAGGCAUGUGGACGCUAUCGAACUUCAUUUACCUCGAAAAAUAUCUACAUGAGAACUCCUUGUAAUCGUGCUUUAACUUUGCAACUUGUAACUCGUUUUCUGGGAGGUAUUAAUAUGAUACCGACGCUUCAAAGACUAGGAGCUAGCAUUUGCAUAACUUAUUCAUAAAAAGCCCAUAAUUCGACUGCGCUGAUACGUUUCACGCGGGUGUUGGCUGUGACCAUCCAGCGUCGUCUGGCGUCAUCGUCGUGUGUGCGUUUUGGUCGAUUCGGCGUGAUGGAAAGCGGAGGUCGUUGUUAUUUUUCUGGCAGCCUUAGGGCCUUCGUCGCUGAAGCGGAUGCAAAAAAAAGCAGAGGAAGUUUGAGGAGUUAAAAGCCGCACCCCCAGCGAAGGCGGCAGCAACGGUACUGAGCACAGGCGUUGUAGAAGAAACGUCUUUGCUAAUCCAGGUAAGAGGUUGCAACUGCCCUUACUCUUUAACUCCUUCCGUACAUGUUUCCCCGUCGAAUAAACCCUUUGAGGGAACGGCUCUAGUAAAGGCAGAAAGAAGCAGACGAAGCGGUGAAGGCGACUUCGCCGCCGCUAAGCGCCGAGCACCAGACAUUGAGUGCUGUCGAGUUCGGAGGUCCGGGAUGGAGUGCAGCCUCGUACAAGUCCCUAAAGGCCAGAAGAAAACUUUUUCUAUAGGGUGACAGCACAGUGCCCCCUUCACCAUUACCGCCAACACUACGAACAGGCUACUGAGUUACUUUGGGUCGGCAUUUCCCUUGGCGGGCACUCCCAACAUAUCCUAAGACGGCCUUUGACUAAGAGUCACUCAAGAUUCUGUCUGACCUGAACCACAUAUCUGGCUGGAUGGGGAUUUCGUUGUCGGGGUGUGGCACCAAUAGCGAGUGAUGUACUGCAAUUUUUCUGCUGUACAACAGUUAGUCAAUAUCAAAACACCUGACUUUUUAAGAAGUGGGCCUAAUCGCGAAAAUUUGAAAACACU